rnacentral:rRNA from 1 species
ACGGGUGAGUAACGCGUAGGAAUCUACCUAGUAGUGGGGGACAACGUCUCGAAAGGGACGCUAAUACCGCAUACGCCCUACGGGGGAAAGGGGGGGAUCUUCGGACCUCUCGCUAUUAGAUGAGCCUGCGUCGGAUUAGCUAGUUGGUGGGGUAAAGGCCUACCAAGGCGACGAUCCGUAGCUGGACUGAGAGGAUGAUCAGCCACACCGGAACUGAGACACGGUCCGGACUCCUACGGGAGGCAGCAGUGGGGAAUAUUGGACAAUGGGGGCAACCCUGAUCCAGCCAUGCCGCGUGUGUGAAGAAGGCCUUCGGGUUGUAAAGCACUUUAGGGGGGGAGGAAGGUCCCAAAGCGAAUACCUUUGGGAAUUGACGUUACCCCCAGAAUAAGCACCGGCUAACUCCGUGCCAGCAGCCGCGGUAAUACGGAGGGUGCAAGCGUUAAUCGGAAUUACUGGGCGUAAAGCGCGCGUAGGCGGUUAGGUAAGUCGAUUGUGAAAUCCCCGGGCUCAACCUGGGAAUUGCAGUCGAGACUGUCUGACUAGAGUGUAGGAGAGGGUGGUGGAAUUCCCGGUGUAGCGGUGAAAUGCGU